rnacentral:rRNA from 1 species
AACGCGAAGAACCUUACCUGGCCUUGACAUGCAUUGGACCGGCGCUGAAAGGCGCCUUUCCCGCAAGGGACCGGUGCACAGGUGCUGCAUGGCUGUCGUCAGCUCGUGUCGUGAGAUGUUGCGUUAAGUCGCGCAACGAGCGCAACCCCUGUCCUUAGUUGCCACCAUUCAGUUGGGCACUCUAGGGAGACAAACCCUCUUUGAGGGUGGGAAGGUGGGGAUGACGUCAAGUCAGGAUGGCCCUUACGGCCAGGGCUGCACACGUGCUACAAUGCCCGGUACAGAGGGAAGCAAUACCGCGAGGUGGAGCAAAUCCUCAAAACCGGGCCCAGUUCAGAUUGUAGUCUGCAACUCGACUACAUGAAGUUGGAAUCGCUAGUAAUGGCGUAUCAGCUACGACGCCGUGAAUACGUUCCCGGGCCUUGUACACACCGAGACGAC